CUGUAAACAAUAUGGUUUCCCGAAAUAUUGCAGUAGCUCACGUUUAAAAAGAAGUAUAAAGUACAUGCACGCAACGAAAUUCUAAUGUCGUUGAAAUCGAUGAAAUACAUGAAAAAUUAACUAUAAAAAACAAUAAAAUUGUGUGGAAAAUCUAUAAGGAAAGUAAGUUGUUUUUUGGCGGGAAAUGUCGAAGCACAAACAGACCAUUUAAAGAGGGAAAAGCUUUAAAAUAUUACUGCUAUAAACAUAAAAUCACAUUUUAAACAAAAAAACACUUAAAAGACGAG